rnacentral:rRNA from 1 species
CCUACGGGUGGCUGCAGUGGGGAAUAUUGGACAAUGGGGGCAACCCUGAUCCAGCCAUGCCGCGUGUGUGAAGAAGGCCCUCGGGUUGUAAAGCACUUUCAGUGAGGAAGAACGCCUGGUGGUUAAUACCCAUCAGGAAAGACAUCACUCACAGAAGAAGCACCGGCUAACUCCGUGCCAGCAGCCGCGGUAAUACGGAGGGUGCGAGCGUUAAUCGGAAUUACUGGGCGUAAAGCGCGCGUAGGUGGCUUGAUAAGCCGGUUGUGAAAGCCCCGGGCUCAACCUGGGAACGGCAUCCGGAACUGUCAAGCUAGAGUGCAGGAGAGGAAGGUGGAAUUCCCGGUGUAGCGGUGAAAUGCGUAGAGAUCGGGAGGAAUACCAGUGGCGAAGGCGGCCUUCUGGACUGACACUGACACUGAGGUGCGAAAGCGUGGGUAGCAAACAGGAUUAGAUACCCUAGUAGUC